AAAAUUUCAUCCAGCAUCCAAAGUUGAGAUCUGUUGAUGCCAAAAUGUGAGCCAAGGUACCGAAACGAUGGAACAACAUGGCCGUAAACUGGAUCACCAGAAUCAACGCGAAGAAGAACACAAAUACCAGACCAAUAGGUUCCAAUUGAAGGUACUCCUUGCUGAUGUGCACCUAUAAAGAGAUAAUGCUACAUUUUUCUGACCAUUGACAAGUUACUUCAAAGUAGGUGAAGUUAUAAUAAGAGUGCACCACAUAAAUUAACCAAUAGCACAAAUAACACACAAUUAACCAUAAAAUUAGAAACGUUAACAACGUUACAGAAGAUACACAGAUUGCUUUCUGCUUUAUAUCCGAAAUAUCGAAAUUCAUUGGGGUCAUCAUCAUUUCGCCAGGGGGGUGAGAGAUUUUGCGCUGCCAAUUGAAGAGAAUUAUUUAAUUUUGUGAUUAUUCAACAUUUUUACAACAAAUUUUGAUGAAAUGAAAAGAUGAUGAUGAGAUAAUGAUAUAUUUUGUGCUGUAAUUUGUUUCGUUCUUAGUGAUUAGUACCACAAAGUACCAUUUGGUGAUCUGUGUUACCAUAGUACCACAAAAAUAAGUGUUUACAUUGAGUGUAUAAUAUAUUCACUGGUUUUGUGGUUGGUCUUGUGUGUUAAUCACUGGAAGAGUAAUUUGUAUGUGAUGACAUGAGUUUUGAUGCUUUGUAUAUAUGUGACUGUGAUAUAUUUUUAAAGAGUAACCAGACUUCAUUUGAGAAACACAUUGUUUAGUACACAAUAAUUAUUCCGUCCAAUCCAAGGAAGUGUAUAGACCCCCAGUGUGCCAUCGCCAUCUUUGUUUAUAACGUUUCGAGUUCACGCGAGAGCGCAACAUCGAAACAGCAUUUUGCCGCCUCUAAAUACCUCAGAAGUCUCCUCAAUGUACGUAAUAUUGGUGCGUAUGCCGAGCGGCCACUUAACAUGGAUCUGAUCCUUAUUAAGUUGCAGCAGAAACACGACCAACACAAACAACGCAUUGAACAUGAAGAAAGCGAAUACCGACUUAUUGCGCAGCUCGAUGAGCUCGCGCGCGAUCCGGGCCUGAAAGAAGAAGCAAAACGUGCGCGCGCACGAUUAGUCCACAUUUGCACUGGCAGGGACACAUGAUUCCUUCCUAGAUCUGUGGAGAAAUUGUAUUGCUUUCGACGCGCUAGCGAUAACAGGUGAGAUUUACGUGCGCGAAUCAUGUGAUCCCUCAAACAUUACCUCUUGUGUACUCUCGUCGUAUGUUAUAUUUGUCUUGAUGCCGAACGGCCAUUUUACGUGCAGGUAAUCCUUCUUCAGUGUCAAUAAGAACACGAUCAAGACAAAUAUAGCAUUGACCAUGAAGAAAGCAAACACGGACGAGUUUCUCAGUUCUUUUAAGUCGGACGCGAUACGUGCCUAAAACAAAACAUAACCCAAUUAACUUAAAUCAAACUAGUGAAGUGCACAUGCCUUUUCCUCCUUGUUCUCGUCAAUUGGAUACAAAUAUUUAUCCAACAACUCCUUCCAGAAGGCGAUUUCCGUUGAACUUAAGAAUUCCACCUCUCCUUUCCUUAGAUCGGGAUCUUCGAUCCAAUAUGGAUUGAUGAGAUCGUCGCGUUUGUUUUGUGGUACUGUUGACAUUGUUUCGCUAUCGCUGUCUGACGACUCCUCGGUUGGAUCUUCCGCAACAGCACUCAGAUGAUGAUGAUCUCCGCGGGAUGAAGCCGACAUGCUACGUCUGCGAGAAGCGUGACCCUGAGGAUCGAUUACCCUGAAACAAACAAAUUCGUUACACAUCGCCCUGUCACUUUAAAGUGACACUGAAUAAGUUCCGACUCUUCGAGACAACAAAAGUGUUGAAGUGAAAAAUUACCAAUAAAAACAUUCAUGUGAGAGAAGAAAAGUUCUUUAAUCGUAUGAACAACAUUCAGUCACCUUCAAGAGUCGGGAAAUGCCCUUAAAUCAGUCUCAAACUUCAGCAAUUUUGGUCAUUUUUGAAAAGUUGCUGUGGAAAAUGGUGAUAGAGGAAGUGUUCUUUAAUGGUAUGAACUGCAUUCAUUCACCCUCAGGGGUCGGGAUAUGCCCUUAAUUCACUCUCAAAUUUCAGCAAUUGUUGUCAUUUUUGAAAAGUUGCGUUGGAAAAUGGUGAUAGAAGAAGAGUUCUUUAAUCGUAUGAACUACAUUCAGUCACCCUCAUGGGUCGGAAAGUACCCUUAAAUCACUCUCAAACUUCAGCAAUUUUUGUCAUUUUUGAAAAGUUGCGGUGGAAAAUGGUGAUAGAGGAAGAGUUCUUUAAUGGUACGAACUGCAUUCAGUCACCCUCAAGGGUCGGGAUAUGCCCUUAAAUCACUCUCAAACUUCAGCAAUUUUUGUCAUUUUUGAAAAGUUGCGGUGGAAAAUAGUCCAUAUCACGCGUUUCCUUGACUGGAUUUUAAUUCUGUUUGCUUCAAGUGAUAGAAAAAGAGUUCUUUAAUCGUAUGAACUACCUUCUGUCCCCCUCAAGGGUCGGGAAGUACCCUUAAAUCCCUCUCAAACAUCAGCAAUUUUUGUCAUUUUUGAAAAGUUGCUAUGGAAAAUGGUGAUAGAAGAAGAGUACUUUAAUCGUAUGAACUACAUUCAGUCACCCUCAAGGGUCGGGAAGUACCCUUAAAUCACUUUCAAACUUCAGCAAUUUUUGUCCUUUUUUGAAAAGUUGAGGUAAUAGAGGAAGAGUUCUUUAAUGGUAUGAACUGCAUUCAGUAACCCUCAAGGGUCGGGAGGUGCCCUUAAAUCACUCUCAAACUUUAGCAAUUUUUGUCAUAUUUGAAAAGUUGCUGUGGAAAAUGGUGAUAGAAGGAGAGUUUUUUAAUGGUAUGAACUACAUGCAGUCACUCUCAAUAGUCGGGAAGUACCCUUAAAUCACUUUCAAACUUCAGCACUUUUUUGUCCUUUUUUGAAAAGUUGCGGUGGAAAGUGGUCUGUAUCCUGUGUUUCCUUGGCACGAUUUUAAUUCGGUUCGCUUCAAGUGAUAGAGGAAGAGUUCUUUAAUGCAAAUGGACAACUUUGAUGCCCAGCCAAGAAGUUUGUGAAUGCACGAAUGAAGUUUGCAAUAUCUCUAGAUGAAGUGUUGGAGAUGCGAGUAUUUUAAGGCAAGUUUUUACUACUUUCGAAUUUGCUAGCUGUCGAUAUUUUUCUAUUUAAAGAAAUGUAUCUAUUAUUAUUUUUGUCAAUAAAACACAAUGUAAAAUUAUAA